UUUACAGUUCACAAAGAUUAAACAAUUUCAAGCCACAAAAUGACUACUAGUUUGUCUAUAUAAAUUUGCUGUGUAAAAUAAAUAAAUUAAAAAAAAUUGUAGUGGUAAAACCACAAAGCUACAUGAAUUGACUUAAAAAAGUCAAAAUUGGACUUAUAUGUUAACAAUGGAGUACAAAAAAUUAUAGCAGGAUAGCAGAUCUACUUAAAGUUUCAACAAAUUUGUUCAAAUUACUGAUCAUUUAGCUUCCAAAAUAAAUUAGUAACAUAAAAAGUUAAACAAGCCCCCACAAAAUGUAUAAAAAUUUGAAUACUAAAACCCUAAAUUCUUAAUCAAAACAUUGAAUUUCAUCAAACCCAUAAAACAAUUUCAGUAACUUACUCAAAAUGUUUGCAGAUUCACUGUGAAGAUUCGUUUAGGGAGUAAUGAUUCGUUUGAAAGGAUUAAUCAUUGGACGUUG
rnacentral:lncRNA from 1 species